rnacentral:rRNA from 1 species
GAAUUCGCCCUUUUCCGGUUGAUCCUGCCGGACCUGACUGCUAUCGGAUUGAUACUAAGCCAUGCGAGUCAUUGUAGCAAUACAAGGCAGACGGCUCAGUAACGCGUAGUCAAUCUACCCUAUGGACGGGGAUAACCUCGGGAAACUGAGAAUAAUACCCGACAGAACAUUAUGCCUGGAAUGGCUUAUGUUUUAAAUGAUUUAUCGCCGUAGGAUGGGACUGCGGCCUAUCAGUUUGUUGGUGAGGUAAUGGCCCACCAAGACUAUUACAGGUACGGGCUCUGAGAGGAGUGGCCCGGAGAUGGGUACUGAGACACGGACCCAGGCCCUAUGGGGCGCAGCAGGCGAGAAGACUUUGCAAUGUGCGAAAGCACGACAAGGUUAAUCCGAGUGGUUUCUGCUAAAGAAACCUUUUGUUAGUCCUAGAAACACUGGCGAAUAAGGGGUGGGCAAGUUCUGGUGUCAGCCGCCGCGGUAAAACCAGCACCUCAAGUGGUCAUGAUGAUUAUUGGGCCUAAAGCAUCCGUAGCUUGCUUUGUAAGUUCUCGGUUAAAUCCAUGCGCUUAACGUAUGGGCUGCCGGUAAUACUGCAAAGCUAGGGAGUGGGAGAGGUAGACGGUACUCGGUAGGAAGGGGUAAAAUCCUUUGAUCUAUUGAUGACCACCUGUGGCGAAGGCGGUCUACCAGAACACGUCCGACGGUGAGGGAUGAAAGCUGGGGGAGCAAACCGGAUUAGAUACCCGGGUAGUCCCAGCUGUAAACUAUGCAAACUCAGUGAUGCAUUGGCUUGUGGCCAAUGCAGUGCUGCAGGGAAGCCGUUAAGUUUGCCGCCUGGGAAGUACGUACGCAAGUAUGAAACUUAAAGGAAUUGGCGGGA